rnacentral:tRNA from 1 species
GGCGGGGUGGCGGAGUGGCCUAACGCGGCGGUCUUGAAAACCGCUACGCGCCGUGAGGUGCGUCCUGAGUUCGAACCUCAGCCCCGCCG